CCUACGGGAGGCUGCAGUGAGGAAUAUUGGUCAAUGGCCGCAGGGCUGAACCAGCCAAGUCGCGUGAGGGAUGACGGUCCUAUGGAUUGUAAACCUCUUUUGUCAGGGAGCAAAGGGCGCCACGUGUGGCGCUUUGCGAGUACCUGAAGAAAAAGCAUCGGCUAACUCCGUGCCAGCAGCCGCGGUAAUACGGAGGAUGCGAGCGUUAUCCGGAUUUAUUGGGUUUAAAGGGUGCGCAGGCGGAAUGUCAAGUCAGUGGUAAAAUUUCGGGGCUCAACCCCGUCGUGCCGUUGAAACUGGCGUUCUUGAGGGAGCGAGAAGUAUGCGGAAUGCGGGGUGUAGCGGUGAAAUGCAUAGAUAUCACGCAGAACUCCGAUUGCGAAGGCAGCAUACCGGCGCUCAACUGACGCUCAUGCACGAAAGCGUGGGUAUCGAACAGGAUUAGAUACCCUGGUAGUC
rnacentral:rRNA from 1 species